rnacentral:rRNA from 1 species
AGCGAACGCUGGCGGCAGGCCUAACACAUGCAAGUCGAACGGACUCUUCGGAGUUAGUGGCGGACGGGUGAGUAACACGUGGGAACGUGCCUUUAGGUUCGGAAUAAGCCCGGGAAACUGGGUCUAAUACCGAAUGUGCCCUUCGGGGGAAAGAUUUAUCGCCUUUAGAGCGGCCCGCGUCUGAUUAGCUAGUUGGUGGUGUAAUGGACCACCAAGGCGACGAUCAGUAGCUGGUCUGAGAGGAUGACCAGCCACAUUGGGACUGAGACACGGCCCAAACUCCUACGGGAGGCAGCAGUGGGGAAUCUUGCGCAAUGGGCGAAAGCCUGACGCAGCCAUGCCGCGUGUAUGAUGAAGGUCUUAGGAUUGUAAAAUACUUUCACCGGUGAAGAUAAUGACUGUAGCCGGAGAAGAAGCCCCGGCUAACUUCGUGCCAGCAGCCGCCGUAAUAC